rnacentral:lncRNA from 1 species
GUUGCUAGCCCUCCUUAGAGAGGGCGAGGGAGAGGAGGAUGCUGUGCCUGGAAAGCGGCUCUUGAGGAGAGCUGGAAUCUCGGCAAAGCGUCCACUCCCUCCCCUCCCCUUUCCUCUCACCUCUAGUGUUCCCACCAGCCCCGGGGAGGAGACAAAGGACGUGGGAGGGCAGCAGCAUGCAGGGGGCCUGCCUUUGACGCCCAGGAGUUGAACACCAGACAGAAAAUGAAAUCUAAACAUUUACCCAGAGCCCUGGGCUAGAAAUGGGCCAACCUGACCCUGGAAAACAAACAACCCGCGUCACCGCCACACCUGCUGCAGGCCCCAGAUGCCACAGGUUGCCUUAAAGAAAAGUUUCUGUAUAUUAAAUAUAAACUAUAUGAUGCAC